rnacentral:rRNA from 1 species
AAAUGAAUUGACGGGGGCCCGCACAAGCGGCGGAGCAUGCGGCUUAAUUCGAUGCAACGCGAAGAACCUUACCUAGGCUUGACAGUUGGGGAAAUCUGGCAGAGAUGUCAGGUCCGCAAGGGCCCCAAAACAGGUGGUGCAUGGCUGUCGUCAGCUCGUGUCGUGAGAUGUUGGGUUAAGUCCCGCAACGAGCGCAACCCUCGUCGUAUGUUGCCAGCAAGUAAAGUUGGGGACUCAUACGAGACUGCCGGGGUCAACUCGGAGGAAGGUGGGGAUGACGUCAAGUCAUCAUGCCCCUUAUGUCUAGGGCUGCACGCAUGCUACAAUGGCUGGUACAAAGGGCUGCGAUACCGCAAGGUGGAGCGAAUCCCAAAAAGCCAGUCUCAGUUCGGAUUGGGGUCUGCAACUCGACCCCAUGAAGUCGGAGUCGCUAGUAAUCGCAGAUCAGCAACGCUGCGGUGAAUACGUUCCCGGGCCUUGUACACACCGCCCGU